CUAAGGAGCAGUUGGCACACUUGUAACUGAGUUGCUUUAUAAGAGGGAGUAAAGGACUUUUUGUUUUUAUUUUGUUUCCUUAUCCAGCACUUGAAGCAUGAUGAUCAAUUCCAACAGAAGACAAAAGAAUGUGCUAUGGAAAGCACUCCAAAUCCUGGAAGAGAGCUCCUGGCAUCACCGAGACUGUAAGAUAACCAGAAGGCUCUUCAAGAUUCCAUGACCAUGUUUUAAUGAGGAAAAUGAUAUGGCUAUGCACCAUGUAUAUGAGGUCGACAUCUUAGGAAAAGACAGAACAAUCAGAUGCAAACAGUUUCCAGAAUGACCAUGUGGAACAGUCAUUCACCAGCCAAGUCUGUCACCAUACAUCAGUUAUACGAUAAGUCAAUAAUUUUUUUUUCUUGAAGACAUUAACCUUUGGAACCUCUGUUAACACAGUUUAGCCUUCACCUUAACUAAUAUAAGUGGUUUGCACACAUUUGGAAUAAAACGAGUAUUAUCAAUUUCUUAGUAUCUUGC
rnacentral:lncRNA from 1 species